UACGAAGGGGGCGAGCGUUGUUCGGAUUUACUGGGCGUAAAGGGCGCGUAGGCGGCCCUCUUUGUCGCGUGUGAAAGCCCCGGGCUCAACCUGGGAAUUGCGCGCGAAACGGGGGGGCUUGAGUUCGGGAGAGGAGCGUGGAAUUCCCAGUGUAGAGGUGAAAUUCGUAGAUAUUGGGAAGAACACCGGUGGCGAAGGCGGCGCUCUGGACCGAGACUGACGCUGAGGCGCGAAAGCGUGUGGAGCAAACAGG
rnacentral:rRNA from 1 species